CUACACGACCGUACCGCAAACCGACACUGGUGCGCGAGAUGAGUAUUCUAAGGCGCUUGAGAGAACUCAGGAGAAGGAACUCGGCAAAUUGACACCGUAACUUCGGAAGAAGGUGUGCCUUUAGUAGGUGAAGUCCCUCGCGGAUGGAGCCCAAUGAGGUUGCAAAAAAUCGGUGGCUGCGACUGUUUAUUAAAAACACAGCACUCUGCAAACACGAAAGUGGACGUAUAGGGUGUGACGCCUGCCCGGUGCUGGAAGAUUAAAUGAUGGGGUGCAAGCUCUUGAUUGAAGUCCCAGUAAACGGCGGCCGUAACAAUAACGGUCCUAAGGUAGCGAAAUUCCUUGUCGGGUAAGUUCCGACCUGCACGAAUGGCGUAACGAUGGCCACACUGUCUCCUCCUGAGACUCAGCGAAGUUGAAAUGUUUGUGAUGAUGCAAUCUCCCCGCGGAAAGACGGAAAGACCCCAUGAACCUUUACUGUAGCUUUGUAUUGGACUUUGAACAGAUCUGUGUAGGAUAGGUGGGAGGCUUUGAAGCAGGGUCGCUAGAUCUUGUGGAGCCAACGUUGAAAUACCACCCUGGUGUGUUUGAGGUUCUAACCUAGGCCCGUAAUCCGGGUUGGGGACAGUGCAUGGUAGGCAGUUUGACUGGGGCGGUCUCCUCCCAAAGUGUAACGGAGGAGUUCGAAGGUACGCUAGUUACGGUCGGACAUCGUGACGAUAGUGCAAUGGCAUAAGCGUGCUUAACUGCGAGACUGACAAGUCGAGCAGAUGCGAAAGCAGGACAUAGUGAUCCGGUGGUUCUGUAUGGAAGGGCCAUCGCUCAACGGAUAAAAGGUACUCUCUGGAUAACAGGCUGAUACCGCCCAAGAGUUCAUAUCGACGGCGGUGUUUGGCACCUCGAUGUCGGCUCAUCUCAUCCUGGGGCUGUAGCCGGUCCCAAGGGUAUGGCUGUUCGCCAUUUAAAGAGGUACGUGAGCUGGGUUUAAAACGUCGUGAGACAGUUUGGUCCCUAUCUUCCGUGGGCGCUGCAGAUUUGAGGAAGCCUGCUCCUAGUACGAGAGGACCGGAGUGGACGCACCUCUGGUGUAUCGGUUGUCACGCCAGUGGCAUUGCCGAGUAGCUAUGUGCGGAAGAGAUAACCGCUGAAAGCAUCUAAGCGGGAAACUCGUUUCAAGAUGAGAUCUGCCGGGGCCUUGAGCCCCCUGAAGAGUCGUUCAAGACCAGGACGUUGAUAGGUCGGGUGUGGAAGCGCAGUAAUGCGUUAAGCUAACCGAUACUAAUUGCUCGUGCGGCUUGACCAA
rnacentral:rRNA from 1 species